GAGUUCUUAGCAACAUGGAAGUAGAGACCAACCAGUCAUUGCAUUGUAGCUUUUUUGUCAUGCAAAGUCCAAUUCCAUAAAUUCUAUGAUUGUACAGUGACUUUGGACUAUAAGGUUAAAGAACAGAUGUGCGAAUUCUGUUAGUUUGUGUUUUAGUUGAAGGCCUUCGUUUCUAUUACUUGUUUUGCAGGAAUAUGGGCAGGAAUGCGUACGGUCCGAUACUUCGAUGGGAAAACAUACAAAUGGGUUGGUCUAAGUCGUCAGCCUAAUAUUAUUGGAAAAGUGAAACGGACCUUGGGACAGUUCACUCCAGCACAAUGGGAUAAAGAUGAAUGGCAUCCCUUACUCGGUCCAUGGCGUUUCAUUCAAGUUCUUGCUCUUUGCAUCGUCUUCCUGACGGUGGAGCUUAACACAUUCUUUUUGAAGUACUGUCUCUGGGUUCCUCCUAGAAACCCUGUAAUAGUAUACAGGUUGGUUCUAUGGUGGUUAAUCGCCAUACCGACCAUUCGUGAGUACAACGUUUACCUUCAAGACAGG